GGCUAAGAUGCAAUUUAGAGAAAAUUGCAACUUUUGGCCCAAAGGUUUGAAUAAUUAAAUUCAAACCUAUAGUUUUUUUUAAUAUAAUUUUGGGACUCACAAUCCCAUUUUUAUAUUAUUUUUCUCUCUUCCUCUCACGUUGCUCGGCGUUUUCUCGCAAGGGGGGAUUAUUUUCUUUUUCUUCAGAUUAUAUUGACAAAGAUAGUGGUGAAAAGGAGUUGUGAAGGGGAACUUGUUAUUCAAGACACAAGGAGCGAGUCCGGCCGAGAAAGCACCAGAGGUGUAAUUAUGGUGUAUGAGACACCAUCUUUUACGUUGCCUCUUAUUUUGGAUUAUACAAUGUAUCUUGUGCCAACUUAGGACAUAUCUUCUUUGUGAAGCAUGUAAACUCUAAUCCUUUUUAUUAAAAGUAUUUAUAUGACCAAGAGGAUUAUAUCUGUCCCUCUUGAUUCAUGACCUGAUUUAAAUAACAUGCUAUGAGGAUCAUGUCUGUCCCUCAUGGUUCUAAUUGCUUUUUGAGAUAUUUUAA